CAGCAGCCGCGGGAAUACGGAGGGUGCAAGCGUUAUCCGGAUUUAUUGGGUUUAAAGGGUCCGUAGGCGGAUCUGUAAGUCAGUGGUGAAAUCUCACAGCUUAACUGUGAAACUGCCAUUGAUACUGCAGGUCUUGAGUAAAUUUGAAGUGGCUGGAAUAAGUAGUGUAGCGGUGAAAUGCAUGGAUAUUACUUAGAACACCAAUUGCGAAGGCAGGUCACUAAGAUUUAACUGACGCUGAUGGACGAAAGCGUGGGGAGCGAACAGGAUUAGAUACCCCUGUAGUCCCUGUCUCUUAUAC
rnacentral:rRNA from 1 species